rnacentral:rRNA from 1 species
AUUGAACGCUGGCGGCAGGCCUAACACAUGCAAGUCGAACGAGUGGCGGACGGGUGAGUAAUGUCUGGGAAACUGCCCGAUGGAGGGGGAUAACUACUGGAAACGGUAGCUAAUACCGCAUACCAUCGGAUGUGCCCAGAUGGGAUUAGCUAGUAGGUGGGGUAACGGCUCACCUAGGCGACGAUCCCUAGCUGGUUUGAGAGGAUGACCAGCCACACUGGAACGGAGACACGGUCCAGACUCCUACGAGAGGCAGCAGUGGGGAAUAUGGGAGGAAGGGGGCAAGCCGGAUGCGGCCAUGCCGCGAGUAUGAAGAAGGCCUUCGGGUUGUAAAAUACUUGCAGCGGGGAGGCGUUACCCGCAGAAGAAGCACCGGCUAACUCCGUGCCAGCAGCCGCGGUAAUAC